UCCCACAUGAAAUAGCUGUGUGCUCCUGUCUAGGACCCUUGUGUAAUAAACAUCGUCUAGCAACACUAUGGGGAUAAGUCAUAACUCAAAAUAGGCUAAUUUACGGCCCCGUGGUUACUUUUGUAUCACUUCUCUUUUCUGAUCCUUGCAAGACCUGCCACAUUAUGACACCUAUGCCUAGGUGUGGUAGACAGAAUAAUGACUCCCAAAGAGGAGCCAACAUCCUAAUAGCUGCAAACUACGACUAUAUAAUUAUGGGGCAAAGAGGAAUUAAGGCUGAUAUUUAGAUGAUCUAAAAAGAGGAACCCUAUACUGGAUUAACUUCACGGGGUCAAGAUCAUCACAAGGGAUCCUGAAAAGCGGAAGGAGGAGGCAGAGGAAGAGAGUCAGAGUGGUAUGACUAAGGAAGGGGACCGGAGAAAUGUAAUGCGAAAGGUAUUCGUUUCAUCCACCGUUGGCUUUGAGGAUGAAGGGGGCAGCUACAAGCCAAGGAAUACAGGUGGCCUCCAGAAACUGGAAGAGGAAAUCACAGACAUCCAAUAUCCAAGGCAGGUUAACAUGGAAGCUGUUCAGACUGAAGCCCAAGGCCUGUGUCUUUCCCGCAUCUGAGGGGCUCCGGCACUGAGGACAGUGUUUGAAAAUCGGGAGCCUAGAUCACUGGGCCCCUGGGCUGGAGAGCAGUGGAGCAGAAAACAAAACUCAGGUGUCCAGGCUUCACCCAGAAGUCUAAGCAGAGAGAUAGACUGUAGGCUCUUCUCAGCACACUCUGUGGAGACAGGCUUUCUCUGCCCUCUCUGAUCGAUGAGGUUCAUACAGCAUUACAGAACAUCUGUGGAUUUCCUACA